rnacentral:rRNA from 1 species
UAGUCCACGCCGUAAACGAUGGAUACUAGUUGUUGGGAUUAAUCUCAGUGACUAAGCGAAAGUGAUAAGUAUCCCACCUGGGGAGUACGGUCGCAAGAUUGAAACUCAAAGGAAUUGACGGGGCCCGCACAAGCGGUGGAGCAUGUGGUUUAAUUCGAUGAUACGCGAGGAACCUUACCAGGGCUUAAAUGUAGAUUGACAGGACUAGAGAUAGUUUUUUCUUCGGACAAUUUACAAGGUGCUGCAUGGUUGUCGUCAGCUCGUGCCGUGAGGUGUCAGGUUAAGUCCUAUAACGAGCGCAACCCCUAUCUUUAGUUGCUAACAGGUUAAGCUGAGGACUCUAGAGAGACUGCCGGUGCAAACCGUGAGGAAGGUGGGGAUGACGUCAAAUCAUCACGGCCCUUACGUCCUGGGGCUACACACGUGCUACAAUGGUAUAUACAGAGGGGCAGGCUACUUGGGCAACAAGAUGCGAAUCUCGAAAGUAUAUCACAGUUCGGGAUUGGGAGU